GCCGGGAUAAAAAUAUGGCGGUUUUAAGAAGGCCCUGUACACAUUUGAAAACCACCCAAAUGACUAUGGGCUUUUUGUGAUUUCCUCUAAUUCAAAAAGAGAACUGUAGAUGUCAGUGUUGUCGUGGUGAUGUUAUGCCACAGGACAAUGUGCACCCAAUGAGAGAGUCACAAUGGGUCAACCACACUCAACUCAACACCUGUCGCAGAAAAUCCUUUAGAACAUUUACAUUUAAAAUACAGAGAUUACACAUUUCAUCCAGUUUCAUAAAUUGAAAAUGUUAAAACCAAUGAAGGAAAACCUUGAUGGUCUUCAAAUAGAGAUAUAUUAAACUUUAAUGAUUUCCUGAAUGAUCCACUACUAUCUGCCUGACAUACAGGCCAUCCUUCAUGGUUGUGACGCAAAAAUAUAUACAAAAAUGUACGGCUCACCGAAUGUCAAAGGUCAAACCAGACAUUCUUAAUCAUGAUCAGACAGGUUUUGUAAAAAGGAAAAUACACUGAGCAUAAUUAUGAUCACUGUACCAUGUUAGAAAUAUGUUUGUUUUUUAUUUGCCGUCUGAUCAAAUGGGUGGGUGGCAAAGUUGAUGUCCUCGGUGUGUUGGUGAGUCCUCGGUGUGUUGGUGAGUCCUCGGUGUGUUGGUGAAUCCUCGGUGUGUUGGAUGAAUCCUCGGUGUGUUGGUGAAUCCUCUGUGUGUUGGUGAAUCCUCUGUGUGUUGGUGAGUCCUCGGUGUGUUGGUGAGUCCUCGGUGUGUUGGUGAGUCCUCGGUGUGUUGGUGAAUCCUCGGUGUGUUGGUGAAUCCUCGGUGUGUUGGUGAAUCCUCUGUGUGUUGGUGAGUCCUCGGUGUGUUGGUGAGUCCUCGGUGUGUUGGUGAGUCCUCGGUGUGUUGGUGAAUCCUCUGUGUGUUGGUGAGUCCUCGGUGUGUUGGUGAAUCCUCGGUGUGUUGGUGAGUCCUCGGUGUGUUGGUGAGUCCUCGGUGUGUUGGUGAAUCCUCUGUGUGUUGGUGAGUCCUCGGUGUGUUGGUGAAUCCUCGGUGUGUUGGUGAGUCUCUGAAAACCAACAUCAGACCAGUGAACAACGGGUGGCCAGAGAGGAAGGGAAAGACUGGAGGAUAACCUCCACUUUGGGGGAGACGGUUUUGGCAAGAGGAACAUAAAAGCGGGACGUGAGAUGAUGACAGACGUGUUGUGUGAUGUCCUGUGACUUGAGCCGUCUACACCCUAAGAAAUAAAACACAAGCACUUGUGUUCACUUGUCGCUGGAACGUUAGAAAUGUCACCACACCCUUCGCCAGCCCGUUGUGUCCGUCAAGCGUUUCCAGAAGACAUCAGGAAUGUGCGUGGUUUCAGACAAGGAUCAGUGACAGGUUACUAGAGAAAUAGGAACUGUGGAUUAGAAAACAUCCUCUCGCACAGAGAUCACAUAACCUCAUUCAGCCACCGAGGGCAGAAGAUCAUCCAGUCAAUCUAGCCACUGUCGACUUCUUUUGACUAGCUGACCAAAGUAUUGACUUUGACAGCUGAAGUUGUGGGGCUACCUCGUAAGGAAGAUAAACAGGAAUACAAAGCCACUGAGAGAGGAAGGUGUAGGUAACAAAAGUCAUGGCUCCAGCAGGGGUGUUGGGGGUGACAGGUUGGUCUUUAUGGUCCUCUUCGUCCCCUGAGGUGUGUUUCGUCUCUAUCCUCAUCUUCCUCAUUCUCACCAUCACGGUCGUCACCAUCUGUAUCAAGUGCCGCAGAAAACAAGAUGUCCAGAUUGAGGUUAUAAACCAAGGACAGACUUUACCCAAGACAGAAGCCUUUCCUGCAAAUAAGUCCUUCAGCAAUGAUGACCAACCCCAAGGUACCCAGUUACCUGACUUACCUUCAUGGAGGCACCACAAGAACAUGCCAGAGAACAAGCUCCCUCAGGCCCUCCCCCGCAACCAGGCCUCACCGUAAUAGAGAUAAACCAGCCAGCCAGGUGUCCCCAAAUAGAGAUAAACCAACCUGCCGGGUGUCCCCCAAUAGAAAUAAACCAGCCAGACAGGUCCCCCCCAACAGAAAUAAACCAGCCAGCCAGGUGUCCCCAAAUAGAAAUAAACCAGCCAGCUGGGUGUCCCCAUCAGAGGUAAACCAGCCAGCCAGGUGUCCCCAGCAGAGAUAAAACAGCCAGCCUAGUGUCCCCAAUAGAGAUAAACCAGCCAGCCAGGUUCCCCCAAAAGAGAAAAAACAGCCAGCCUGGUGUACCCAUUAGAGAUAAGCAAGCUUGACUGGUGUACCCAGAAGAGAUAAA
ensembl:lncRNA